rnacentral:rRNA from 1 species
GAUGAACGCUAGCGGCAGGCUUAAUACAUGCAAGUCGAGGGGCAGCAGUUUUGUAGCAAUACAGAAGCUGGCGACCGGCAAACGGGUGCGGAACACGUACGCAACCUUCCUUUAACUGGAAGAUAGCUCACCGAAAGGUGGAUUAAUACUCCAUAACAUAUUGAAGAGGCAUCUCUUUGAUAUUAAAGCCACGGCGGUUAAAGAUGGGCGUGCGUCUGAUUAGGUAGUUGGCGGGGUAACGGCCCACCAAGCCUUCGAUCAGUAGCUGCUGUGAGACCAUGAGCAGCCAACCGGGCACUGAAACACGGGCCCGACUCCUACGGGAGGCAGCAGUAAGGAAUAUUGGUCAAGGGACACAAGUCUGAACCAGCCAUGCCGCGUGGAGGAUGAAGGCCCUCUGGGUUGUAGACAUCUUUUCUUUGGGUCGAAACCCCUGUUUCUACGGGGACUGACGGUACCAGAGGAAUAAGCACCGGCUAACUCCGUGCCAGCAGCCGCGGUAA